rnacentral:misc_RNA from 1 species
AAGUCGUAACAAGGUUUCCGUAGGUGAACCUGCGGAAGGAUCAUUAAUGAGAUAGGGUCCUUCGGGGCCCGACCUCCAACCCUUUGUCUACAAUCCACUGUUGCCUCGGCGAGCCGCCGGCGCUUUGAUCGGCGUCGCCUUUGGCCUUGUGCCUCUGCGUGCUCGCCGCCAGGCCCCUUUAAAACCCUUGAAACUAAGCAAUCUGAGAAACAUUUAAUACUUCAAAA